rnacentral:rRNA from 1 species
ACAACUUUCAGCAACGGAUCUCUUGGCUCUCGCAUCGAUGAAGAACGCAGCGAAAUGCGAUAAGUAAUGUGAAUUGCAGAAUUCAGUGAAUCAUCGAAUCUUUGAACGCACCUUGCGCUCCUUGGUAUUCCGAGGAGCAUGCCUGUUUGAGUGUCAUUAAAUUCUCAACCUCACCCGUUUUCUGAACGGUUCUCCGAGGCUUGGAUGUGGGGGUUUGUGCAGGCUGCCUCAGCGCGGUCCGCUC